rnacentral:tRNA from 1 species
GCUCCUGUAGCUCAGUUGGAUAGAGCGGCGGACUUCUAAUCCGUAGGUCGUAGGUUCGAUUCCUACCGGGGGCGCAA